CUGAAGAGUUGCCACAGUAUUUGAUGAACUGCAUCACUUGAUCUGCCUUCAUUGCUACUAAAGGGCUUUCAAUCCGUUGUUGUUGUUGUUUUUCGGUGCGCGUAUUUACGCAUUAAAAACUUCAAUAACAGAAGCGUUUUUUUCAAUUAGCGCUUAUUUAGUUUCACUCAAGCGUCCUUUGGAGAACAGGAGAUAUGGAGUUGGUGUAUCUGAUGUGUUUGGCGCUGAGCAUCGGUGCUUGGUUCGCUUGUGCAGAGAGGCACAGCGUCUACUGGAACGGCUCGAACCCAAACUUCAUGAGGGAUGAGGAAGAUGAUGUUGGUA